AUUGAACGCUGGCGGCAGGCCUAACACAUGCAAGUCGAGCGGGGUUUUCGGACCUAGCGGCGGACGGGUGAGUAAUGCGUAGGAAGCUACCCGAUAGAGGGGGAUACCAGUUGGAAACGACUGUUAAUACCGCAUAAUGUCUACGGACCAAAGUGUGGGACCUUCGGGCCACAUGCUAUCGGAUGCGCCUACGUGGGAUUAGCUAGUUGGUGAGGUAAUGGCUCACCAAGGCGAUGAUCCCUAGCUGGUUUGAGAGGAUGAUCAGCCACACUGGAACUGAGACACGGUCCAGACUCCUACGGGAGGCAGCAGUGGGGAAUAUUGGACAAUGGGCGCAAGCCUGAUCCAGCCAUGCCGUGUGUGUGAAGAAGGCCUUCGGGUUGUAAAGCACUUUCAGUAGGGAGGAAGCGUUGUGUGUUAAUAGUACACAGCGUUGACGUUACCUACAGAAGAAGCACCGGCUAACUCUGUGCCAGCCGCCGCGGUAAAAC
rnacentral:rRNA from 1 species